rnacentral:tRNA from 1 species
GAGGGUGUAGCUCAAGCGGCAGAGCGCAUGCUUAGCAUGCACAAGGUCCUGGGUUCAAUCCUUGGCACCUCCU